rnacentral:rRNA from 1 species
AAUGAACGCUGGCGGCAUGCCUUACACAUGCAAGUCGAACGGCAGCAUGACCUAGCUUGCUAGGUUGAUGGCGAGUGGCGAACGGGUGAGUAAUGCAUCGGAACGUGCCUUUUAGUGGGGGAUAACGUAGCGAAAGUUACGCUAAUACCGCAUAUUCUCUGAGGAGGAAAGCAGGGGACCUUCGGGCCUUGCGCUAGAAGAGCGGCCGAUGUCGGAUUAGCUAGUUGGUGAGGUAAAGGCUCACCAAGGCAACGAUCCGUAGCGGGUCUGAGAGGAUGAUCCGCCACACUGGGAAUGAGACACGGCCCAGACUCCUACGGGAGGCAGCAGUGGGGAAUUUUGGACAAUGGGCGCAAGCCUGAUCCAGCCAUGCCGCGUGAGUGAAGAAGGCCUUCGGGUUGUAAAGCUCUUUCGGCUGGGAAGAAAUCGCACCCUCUAAUACAGGGUGCGGAUGACGGUACCAGCAUAAGAAGCACCGGCUAACUACGU